CUUGACACUGAUCACCGUCACUGUGCUCCAGCUUCACAAGCUUAACAAAGGAACGGGAGAACUGAGCAACCUGACAACGUUUCUGAUUUAAACUCGGAAGCAGGGAGCCAUGAGGAUCCAGUUUGCAUUUGUGCUGCUGCUUUCUGCCACUGUACUCUGUCAGAAUGAGCGUUACCAGAAGUUUAUAAAUCAGCAUAUUUAUCAGCAGAUGAGAAUUGGCAUGUGUACUAGCGUGAUAGCUAGGAGAGGCAUUAAAACCAUCAACAAUGAGUGUAAGGAGACCAAUACCUUUAUCAGAGCUACCACAGGUCUAGUGACACCCAUUUGUAACGAUGCAGGAGAGCCAUAUGGUGAUAUGACCAAAAGCACAAAACCUUUUGACAUUGUUGUCUGUAAA